GCUGGUGCUGUGGCAAAUAUCUGUAGUCCCAGCUACUGGAAAGGCUGAAGAGAGAGGAUCCCUUAAGCCCAGGAGUUCUGGGCUGUCAUGUGUUAUGCUGAUUGGGUGUCUACACUAAGUUUGACAUCAAUAUGGUAAUCUCCCAGGAGCAGGGAGGGGACCACCAGGUUGCCUAAGGAGGGGUGAACCGGCAGAAGUAGGAAAUUAAGGAUAUCAAAAAUCCCAUGCUGAUCAGUAGUGGGACUACAACUGUGAAUAGCCACCGUACUCCAGCCUGAGCAAGAGGAAGACUCUGGCUCUUUU
ensembl:misc_RNA Metazoa_SRP Metazoan signal recognition particle RNA